GAUGAACGCUGGCGGCGUGCCUAAUACAUGCAAGUCGAGCGAACAGACGAGGAGCUUGCUCCUCUGACGUUAGCGGCGGACGGGUGAGUAACACGUGGAUAACCUACCUAUAAGACUGGGAUAACUUCGGGAAACCGGAGCUAAUACCGGAUAAUAUAUUGAACCGCAUGGUUCAAUAGUGAAAGACGGUUUUGCUGUCACUUAUAGAUGGAUCCGCGCCGCAUUAGCUAGUUGGUAAGGUAACGGCUUACCAAGGCAACGAUGCGUAGCCGACCUGAGAGGGGGAUCGGCCACACUGGAACUGAAACACGGUCCAGACGCCUACGGGAGGCACCAGUAGGGAAUCUUCCGCAAUGGGCGAAAGCCUGACGGAGCAGCGCCGCGUGAGUGAUGAAGGUCUUCGGGUCGGAAAACUCUGUUAUUAGGGAAGAACAAAUGCGUAAGUAACUAUGCACGUCUUGACGGUACCUAAUCAGAAAGCCACGGCUAACUACGUG
rnacentral:rRNA from 1 species